UCUUAUGGAUGAGCAAAGAAUGUGGUUUUUUGAGAUAAAAUCUACUUCUGGAGAAGAUGGUGUGAA
rnacentral:pre_miRNA from 1 species